rnacentral:rRNA from 1 species
CCGAGUUUACAACUCCCAAACCCAAUGUGAACGUUACCAAACUGUUGCCUCGGCGGGAUCUCUGCCCCGGGCGCGUCGCAGCCCCGGACCAAGGCGCCCGCCGGAGGACCAACCCAAAACCCUUAUUGUAUACCCCCUCGCGGGUUUUUUUUUAUAAUCUGAGCCUUCUCGGCGCCCCUUCGUGGGCGUUUCGAAAAUGAAUCAAAACUUUCAACAACGGAUCUCUUGGUUCUGGCAUCGAUGAAGAACGCAGCGAAAUGCGAUAAGUAAUGUGAAUUGCAAAAUUCAGUGAAUCAUCGAAUCUUUGAACGCACAUUGCGCCCGCCAGUAUUCUGGCGGGCAUGCCUGUCCGAGCGUCAUUUCAACCCUCGAACCCCUCCGGGGGGUCGGCGUUGGGGAUCGGCCCUCCCUCGCGGGGGGCCGUCUCCGAAAUACAGUGGCGGUCUCGCCGCAGCCUCUCCUGCGCAGUAGUUUGCACGCUCGCACCGGGAGCGCGGCGCGUCCACAGCCGUUAAACACCCAACUUUCUGAAAUGUUGACCUCGGAUCAGGUAGGAAUACCCGCUGAACUUAAGCAUAUCAAA